UGCAAGCGUUAUCCGGAAUGAUUGGGCGUAAAGCGUCUGCAGGUGGCAGUUCAAGUCUGCUGUCAAAGACCGGGGCUUAACUUCGGAAAGGCAGUGGAAACUGAACAGCUAGAGUAUGGUAGGGGCAGAGGGAAUUCCUGGUGUAGCGGUGAAAUGCGCAGAUAUCAGGAGGAACACCGAUGGCGAAGGCAGGUCUCUGGGCCACUACUGACGCUGAGAGGCGAAAGCAUGGGGAGCGAACAGG
rnacentral:rRNA from 1 species